AGAGUUUGAUCCUGGCUCAGGACGAACGCUGGCGGCGUGCCUAAUACAUGCAAGUCGAGCGGACUUGAUGGAGUGCUUGCACUCCUGAUAGUUAGCGGCGGACGGGUGAGUAACACGUGGGUAACCUGCCCAUAAGACUGGGAUAACAUUCGGAAACGGGGUCUAAUACCGGAUAAUACCUGCCCGGGCAUCUGGGUGGGUUAAAAGCUCCGGCGGUGAAGGAUGAGCCCGCGGCCUAUCAGCUUGUUGGUGAGGUAGUGGCUCACCAAGGCGACGACGGGUAGCCGGCCUGAGAGGGCGACCGGCCACACUGGGACUGAGACACGGCCCAGACUCCUACGGGAGGCAGCAGUGGGGAAUAUUGCACAAUGGGCGAAAGCCUGAUGCAGCGACGCCGCGUGAGGGAUGACGGCCUUCGGGUUGUAAACCUCUUUCAGCAGGGAAGAAGCGAAAGUGACGGUACCUGCAGAAGAAGCGCCGGCUAACUACGUGCCAGCAGCCGCGGUAAUACGUAGGGGGCAAGCGUUGUCCGGAAUUAUUGGGCGUAAAGCGCGCGCAGGCGGCUUGUCACGUCGGGUGUGAAAGCCCGGGGCUUAACCCCGGGUCUGCAUUCGAUACGGGCUAGCUAGAGUGUGGUAGGGGAGAUCGGAAUUCCUGGUGUAGCGGUGAAAUGCGCAGAUAUCAGGAGGAACACCGGUGGCGAAGGCGGAUCUCUGGGCCAUUACUGACGCUGAGGAGCGAAAGCGUGGGGAGCGAACAGGAUUAGAUACCCUGGUAGUCCACGCCGUAAACGGUGGGAACUAGGUGUUGGCGACAUUCCACGUCGUCGGUGCCGCAGCUAACGCAUUAAGUUCCCCGCCUGGGGAGUACGGCCGCAAGGCUAAAACUCAAAGGAAUUGACGG
rnacentral:rRNA from 1 species